GGGUUGUGAGGUUAAGCGACUAAGCGUACACGGUGGAUGCCCUGGCAGUCAGAGGCGAUGAAGGGCGUGCUAAUCUGCGAUAAGCGCCGGUAAGGUGAUAUGAACCGUUAUAACCGGCGAUACCCGAAUGGGGAAACCCAGUGUGAUUCGUCACACUAUCAUUAACUGAAUCCAUAGGUUAAUGAGGCGAACCGGGGGAACUGAAACAUCUAAGUACCCCGAGGAAAAGAAAUCAACCGAGAUUCCCCCAGUAGCGGCGAGCGAACGGGGAGGAGCCCAGAGCCUGAAUCAGCAUGUGUGUUAGUGGAAGCGUCUGGAAAGGCGCGCGAUACAGGGUGACAGCCCCGUACACAAAAGCGCAUGUGCUGUGAGCUCGAUGAGUAGGGCGGGACACGUGGUAUCCUGUCUGAAUAUGGGGGGACCAUCCUCCAAGGCUAAAUACUCCUGACUGACCGAUAGUGAACCAGUACCGUGAGGGAAAGGCGAAAAGAACCCCAGCGAGGGGAGUGAAAAAGAACCUGAAACCGUGUACGUACAAGCAGUGGGAGCACCCUUU
rnacentral:rRNA from 1 species